rnacentral:rRNA from 1 species
AUGAACGCUGGCGGCGUGCUUAACACAUGCAAGUCGAACGAAGCACUGGCGUCUGAUCUUCGGGUGAAGAGGCCUUGACUGAGUGGCGGACGGGUGAGUAACGCGUGGGGAACCUGCCCCAUACCGGGGGACAACAGCCGGAAACGGCUGCUAAUACCGCAUAAGCGCACGGGAGCGCAUGCUUUUGUGUGAAAAACUCCGGUGGUAUGGGAUGGCCCCGCGUCUGAUUAGGCAGUUGGCGGGGCAACGGCCCACCAAACCGACGAUCAGUAGCCGACCUGAGAGGGUGACCGGCCACAUUGGGACUGAGACACGGCCCAAACUCCUACGGGAGGCAGCAGUGGGGAAUAUUGCACAAUGGGGGAAACCCUGAUGCAAGCGACGCCGCGUGAGUGAAGAAGUAUUUCGGUAUGUAAAGCUCUAUCAGCAGGGUAAGAAAAUGACGGUACCUGCACAAGAAGCCCCGGCUAACUACGUGCCAGCAGCCGC